UAUGGGCGUAAAGCGUCCGUAGGUGGUGUUCAAGUCUGCUGUAAAAGCGUGCGGCUUAACCGCAUACCAGCAGUGGAAACUGGGCGACUAGAGUGCGGUAGGGGUCAGGGGAAUUCCCAGUGUAGCGGUGAAAUGCGUAGAUAUUGGGAAGAACACCGGUGGCGAAAGCGCCUGACUGGACCUGCACUGACACUGAGGGACGAAAGCUAGGGGAGCGAAAGGGAUUAGAUACCCCUGUAGUCCUAGCCGUAAACGAUGGACACUAGGUGUUGCCCGUAUCGACCCGGGCAGUGCCGUAGCCAACGCGUUAAGUGUCCCGCCUGGGGAGUACGCUCGCAAGAGUGAAACUCAAAGGAAUUGACGGGGGCCCGCACAAGCGGUGGAGUAUGUGGUUUAAUUCGAUGCAACGCGAAGAACCUUACCAGGGCUUGACAUGUCCAGAACCCUCUUGAAAGGGAGGGGUGCCUUCGGGAACUGGAGCACAGGUGGUGCAUGGCUGUCGUCAGCUCGUGUCGUGAGAUAUUGGGUUAAGUCCCGCAACGAGCGCAACCCUCGUUUUUAGUUGCCAUCAUUCAGUUGGGCACUCUAGAGAGACUGCCGGUGACAAACCGGAGGAAGGUGGGGAUGACGUCAAGUCAGCAUGCCCCUUACGUCCUGGGCUACACACGUACUACAAUGCUGCGGACAAAGGGUUGCAAGCUCGCGAGAGCAAGCUAAUCCCAUAAACCGUGGCUCAGUUCAGAUUGCAGGCUGCAACUCGCCUGCAUGAAGGAGGAAUCGCUAGUAAUCGCAGGUCAGCAUACUGCGGUGAAUACGUUCCCGGGCCUUGUACACACCGCCCGUCACACCAUGGGAGUUGGCCACGCCCGAAGUCGUUACUCCAACCGAAAGGAGGAGGACGCCGAAGGCAGGGCUGAUGACUGGGGUGAAGUCGUAACAAGGUAA
rnacentral:rRNA from 1 species